rnacentral:rRNA from 1 species
AUGCGCUCGCAUGGUGACAAGCGGAGAGCCCCAGUCGACCCAAGAGAGCCUGGGUUCGAUGCGAGAUCACUCCUCGUACAUGGUUUGGUUGACAGAGGCAGGGCUAACAGAGAAGAACUGGACAGAGAUCGUCCGACUGGAAGCAGGGCGUUUGUUUCCGGGCCCGAGUGUUUCAGCAGAACCAUCCGAGUAGCUAAGAUCCCACCCAACUUCAGAUUGAUUACGGGCGUGAGCAAGUUCACUGGUGAGUCAAAGCCAGACACGUGGCUGGAAGAUUACCGAGUGGCAGUGCAGAUUGGUGGAGGCAACAAUGAUGUAGCCAUGAAGCACCUCCCUUUGAUGCUUGAGGGUUCGGCCAGAGUUUGGUUGAAUCAGUUGGCCCUUGGAAGUAUUUUCCGUUGGGAAGAUUUAGCCCGAGUGUUUAUCAAGACAUUCAAGGGCACCUGCAAGCGACCUGCUGGGCUGACUGAAUUGCAGCAUUGCGUUCAGAAGCCGUAUGAAACUUUGAGAGAUUUCAUCCAGAGAUGGACUACUCUUCACCAUGUGGUGGAAAGUGUGUAA